rnacentral:lncRNA from 1 species
AAGCCAGAUACUCCCAUUUACCUGUUGUUCCCCCUUCUGAGCUCCUGAGAGAGGAGGAUUAGGAGAGAUUGGAAGCAAAUUUACCCUGUCUCCACACCCGUGCUCAAAAUCGUGUUCAUUCGCACUCUCAAGUUUCUCAGUUUACCACAGAAACUUUGUUGAUGCUACUGUCAUUCGUGUUUUCACAUUUGUUUAAUACUUGCCAGUUUACCAACAAUUUUCUAAUCGUAAUCUCAAUUUGUUUUCUUCAAGAAGAAGCUGGGCAUAAAGAAUGAUUUACUCUGGGUCUCAUAGUAAUGGAGCAGACCUGGGAUACAGAUCCUCACCUGUGUCCAGUUCUUUAUCCUCUCUGCUGGCCUGCAUGUGACUUCAGAACCGUACUCCCUAUCUGUUACCCUGUAGGCCAGUUGUCUUUAUGUUGUGCCUAAGUGUUAUCAUUACUUUUGGGAAGGUGGUAUCAUUCUGUUUUACCUUAUAGAAAUGGAGGGUAAGAGGAAUUUUAUGGUUUCGUGACUAUUUGUGACAAUGUUUUAGCAUUAAAGUCAUUUUUCAACUUAAAGUGCCUUCCUUCGAGAACUCAUGGAGAGAGGAGAGAGAAAAAAGAAUUAGUUUUUGGACAACACAGUCUAUUUUUGCAGUGGUUCUGGUUAAGGAUAACCUAACACCAUAAUCACAUUCUCCUUGUGUGCCUGGCUACUUGUGCCAGUCUGUACGUGAAUGUUAACCCAAAAGACUCCUUUAGAUGUCGCUGAACUAGUUACUAUAAAAAGUGUUUCACUUUCAAACUCCCACAUUUCAAGAACAGAGGAACUCAGCACAAAGGUAAUUUUGAAGUUUCCCUGGAACCUGGGCUCCCCGAGACGCAGCACUGGAGCAGAUGGAUAAUGGAGACUGGGGCUAUAUGAUGACUGACCCAGUCACGUUAAAUGUAGGUGGACACUUGUACACAACAUCUCUCACCACGUUGACGCGUUACCCGGAUUCCAUGCUUGGAGCUAUGUUUGGGGGGGACUUCCCCACAGCUCGAGAUCCUCAAGGCAAUUACUUCAUUGAUCGAGAUGGACCUCUUUUCCGAUAUGUCCUCAACUUCUUGAGAACUUCAGAGUUGACUUUACCCCUGGAUUUUAAGGAAUUUGAUCUGCUUCGGAAAGAAGCAGACUUUUAUCAGAUUGAGCCCUUGAUUCAGUGUCUCAAUGACCCCAAGCCUUUGUAUCCUAUGGAUACUUUUGAAGAAGUUGUGGAGUUAUCUAGUACUCGGAAGCUUUCUAAGUAUUCCAAUCCAGUAGCUGUCAUCAUAACCCAGUUAACCAUUACCACCAAGGUCCAUUCCUUACUAGAAGGUAUAUCAAACUAUUUUACGAAGUGGAAUAAGCACAUGA